CUCCAAUAGCGUAUACUAAAGUUGUUGCAGUUAAAAAGCUCGUAGUUGAAUUUCUGGUCUCGGACAUCGGUCUGCCUCGAACGAGGUACGUACCAGUGUCUGAAUCCAUCCUCGGGGAAAACAUGUCUGGCAUCAGUUGUUGGGCAUGGGAUCCUCGUCAUUUACUGUGAGCAAAUAGAGUGUUCAAGCAGGCUUAUGCC
rnacentral:rRNA from 1 species